UACGGAGGGGGCAAGCGUUAUUCGGAAUUAUUGGGCGUAAAGGGCGCGUAGGCGGCUAGAUGUGUCAAAGGUGAAAUCCCUCGGCUCAACUGAGGAACUGCCUUUGAAACUGUCUGGCUUGAGGCCGGGAGAGGGUGGCGGAAUUCCCAGUGUAGCGGUGAAAUGCGUAGAUAUUGGGAGGAACACCAGUGGCGAAGGCGGCUACCUGGACCGGUUCUGACGCUGAGGCACGAAGGCCAGGGGAGCAAACGGG
rnacentral:rRNA from 1 species